UUUCAGCUAUGGUUUUGAAAAAAAGAAAAGGGGAAAGGGUCUUGAUGCUCUGGGCAGGGACGAUUUCCGGCGAUCGGACCACCGUCCGUCCGUAAUCGGCGACCGCUGUAUACGGCGACCGCUGUAUACGGCGGCUGGAAGCGCAAAAUCGACCCCUUUUUAACCCUUUUGUUCCCCUUACCCUAGAUCCAUAGUUGAAGCGCCCAAAAACCUCACGAAAACCGACGAAAAUCAAGAGAAACUUCUCGGUUCUACUCUCCGAUCGCCCCAAACAAGGUAAGAUUUGAUGUCUUUUGUUUAUUUAUCUAAGGAUAAUAGUAAUAAAGAGGAAAAGGAACAAAGAAAUCACCUUUCUAUUAUUCGAUUGCUUCUCAAUAUUCGUUUGUUUUUGUAUUGAUUUGUUUUUUUUUGAAUAUUCGAAAAAGAUCAUCCCUUUUUUUUACAAUAGUUUCCAUUCGGCUUUUUAUAGCCCAUUUGUUACACUGUCUAUUUCCCUAUAUUUUGCUGCUGUUGCGUAUUCUGUUUGUUGUGCAGGUGGUGGUUGAACGGUGGAGCAGAGGCUGGUUGGGGGUUGACAGAGAUGAUGGGACAGAGGCGGCGGCUAGGGUUCUUUUUUCUGUUAAUGUUUUGGGCUGAUGUUAGUGGGUUAGGGUUUGUUUAAUUUGGGCUGGUAGUUUAGGUUUUAUUUUGUUUUGGGUUAAAGGUUGUUGGGCCACUCGGGUUUGAUUGUAAACAGGCUAAAAUUGGCCUACAACAACAAGUGUUUUUUUUUUGGAAUAUUAAUCUAAUUAUAGGUUCUUAUCAUAUCUGUUCUCUUUUAUCAAUACCUACAACUAUUCAUAAUCCUAUUCCAACCCUAAAUAGG
rnacentral:lncRNA from 1 species